rnacentral:rRNA from 1 species
GUGGUUGCUGGCGUGGGUCGCAGAGAAUAGAGGGGAGCGACUGUUUAUCAAAAACACAGGUCCGUGCGAAGACGAUGAAGUUGAUGUAUACGGACUGACGCCUGCCCGGUGCUGGAAGGUUAAGAGGACCUGUUAGGACUUUUUGUCCGAAGCGGAGAAUUUAAGCCCCAGUAAACGGCGGUGGUAACUAUAACCAUCCUAAGGUAGCGAAAUUCCUUGUCGGGUAAGUUCCGACCUGCACGAAUGGCGUAACGACUCCCCUGCUGUCUCAACCACAGACCCGGUGAAAUUGCACUACGAGUAAAGAUGCUCGUUACGCGCGGCAGGACGAAAAGACCCCGGGACCUUCACUAUAGCUUGGUAUUGGCAUUCGGUGCGGUUUGUGUAGGAUAGGUGGGAGACUGUGAAGCGGCCACGCCAGUGGUUGUGGAGUCGUUGUUGAAAUACCACUCUGACCGUAGUGGAUAUCUAACCUUGGCCCAUGAUCUGGGUUGGGGACAGUGCCUGGUGGGUAGUUUAACUGGGGC